GACGAACGCUGGCGGCGUGCCUAAUACAUGCAAGUUGAGCGCUGAAGGUUGGUACUUGUACCAACUGGAUGAGCAGCGGACGGGUGAGUAACGCGUGGGGAAUCUGCCUUUGAGCGGGGGACAACAUUUGGAAACGAAUGCUAAUACCGCAUAAAAACUUUAAACACAAGUUUUAAGUUUGAAAGAUGCAAUUGCAUCACUCAAAGAUGAUCCCGCGUUGUAUUAGCUAGUUGGUGAGGUAAAGGCUCACCAAGGCGAUGAUACAUAGCCGACCUGAGAGGGUGAUCGGCCACAUUGGGACUGAGACACGGCCCAAACUCCUACGGGAGGCAGCAGUAGGGAAUCUUCGGCAAUGGACGAAGGUCUGACCGAGCAACGCCGCGUGAGUGAAGAAGGUUUUCGGAUCGUAAAACUCUGUUGGUAGAGAAGAACGUUGGUGAGAGUGGAAAGCUCAUCAAGUGACGGUAACUACCCAGAAAGGGACGGCUAACUACGUG
rnacentral:rRNA from 1 species